GCCCGGGUAUAUUGGAUGGGGCUAAGUUUUAUUUCUAGUUGUGUAUAUAUAUACAGCUGAAUAGUUAUCUUGUUCAUUUUCCUAUAUUUGUAUUAUUCAUAACUUAGUUUAUUGUUUAGGUGCUUUUAUUGUGAAAGGGGCGGAGAGAGGAAAAGAAACGGGGGAGAAGGCAGCAGCCACGAGAGAUGGGAGGAGAGAAAAGCGUGCGCGAGAUGCGGCUAGCGUCUGCAGAGACUUUUUCCAAUGGACGACAAGGAUAAAUCAUCCCACGUCGACGGCUGAGUAACAGAGCGUGACUGUGAGGUGGUGCAGCCCGGACUGGUUUGCACUGUUGCCUCGGAAUCACCUAGUUAGCGGCGUGCUAACUUGGCUAACCGGAGUUAGCCCUCAAGGCGGACUUCGCUAACGAUCACCGGACCUGUACAGAGCGAGAGGCUACUAACUGCAGAGGCUGACCGAUCAGGUUUGCUGCUCGGAAGGAGUAAGUGUGCAGCUGCAGGGACUAAGGGACGGACCUCUCGGCUUGCUGUGAGUUUGUGGAAAGAGACUGAGAGUUCCAGGUAGGAGCACCAUUUUGUUUUCUUUUAGGACCGUCUGUUCCUACGCACACAAGCAUCGAUCCAGGCCUGCACCGAGGGGACUUGGGAAAUUGGGGUGUGAGCGAGUGUGUGGGGCCCAUUACGAUGGCCUGGGAACAACUUGGUGCUCCCCCGGAAAAGCCGGAGGAGGUGGCCGGGGAGAGGGAGGUCUGAGCUUCUCUGCUUAGGCUGCUGCCCCUGCGACCUGGCCUGGAUAAGUGGAAGACAAUGGAUGGAUGGAUGGAUGGAUGGAUGGAUACAUUUCAGAGAGUCAGUGGAGUCUACCUUGAUUGGUAGCAAGGCCGCUGUAGCUGAUCACUGCCUCUUGGGCCUCACGCCCAUAUCAUGUUGCAACCUCUCGACUGUGUUUUUGCCGUUGGUGCCUUUUGGACCUUUGCAUUUUGAGAGGAAAAGUUAAAAGUGCAGGAAAAGUAGGACUCCGGAGACCAGGAGUGUCAACAUAAGGCCCAGGGGACAGAAUCAUUCCAGCAAAGACUCCAAUUCGGCCCACAGGAUGGCUUUAGAAAAUGUGUUUAACUGUAUUUUCAUACGCUUUAGUUUUCCCUGCCCAUAAAAACCUACCUUGUGGCCAUUCACAAUACAUCAAAGUAAUUCAGUUAUAGAUUUCUGUAAUUUUACACACAUCCUUGAAAUCGAAUUUACUACAGCAGCACUUGUUUAUCAUUUAGACAACCUGAGACAUACAGUUCGUUGUUUCUCUAAUAUUAAAAUAUCUCACUGAUUAAAUGGAUAGUUAAACUUUUUACAAUGACAGAAAUUGGAGUUUCACUUGUCAGGCCCUCUUAAGAUCAAAACCCACUGUAUGUGGCUCAAGAUAUAAAAUAGCUUAACAUGCCUGGCCUAGACAAUCGACAGAACAGCAAAGUCAAGCUCUCUGUAAUUUAAUGCUGUGAUUGGAAAACUUGCAUUAGUUGAAAAUAUACAAGUGAUUUACCUGUAGUCCAACCAGUCGAAAACAGAAAGGCACCCUGCUAACUUGAAAAUCUUUUCUUGUAAAGACCUCAUUUGAAGAGAGCACUUGUCAGAGAGACUUCAUCAUCCUCUAAUUGCCUGAUUUAGUUUCUGUGGUGAAUUAGCUACAGGUGUUAUGUAAAUUUAGCAGCCCUUCCACUCUGUCAUGGCUGUGAGCACAGUCUCUUUCUAUGUUAAUUUAAGAUGAUUCGUUGUUCACAGGAAGUGUAACCAGGGGACAGUGUGAAGAAAAUGCUGUUGGCAGGGAAGUGUGUAUGAAAAACUUUCAAAGCAACAACAAGGUGUUUACAUCCAGAGCUUGAAAGCUUCUCCAUUUCCUACAAUCUCCCGGUGGAUUAAAUCUCUUAUCCUGGAAAUCAUGCUAUUGUCUUUGGUUUCUGUUGGGUAAACAGAGGAUGUGAACAGCUAUCUGUUCAUAACUUGACCACACGGUUAAACAGCAGUCAAUUUACUUUCUGAUAAUACUGUAAAGUGGUAUUGAAUUCGGUUAUCUGGUUAAGGGAAAAGGAAAGGAAGAAAGACAAAACAUUCAGCUCCGGAAAUCUUUCAGUUUAAAGCAAAUGUGAUAGCAUCUCAGCAACGGGGCGUCUCGUGGUUGACCCGGUCAGUUUGUCUCUACAAAGAAAACUCUGCAGGAUUUGUGUUGUGUUUAUUGCUCUGCUUCAAGUGUGGUCUGUUAAACCUCAUCCCUACAUUACCUUUCUCUGACCUUUGCUUUUUCAGCAACUCUACAGGCUGUCAUACAAUAACCACUCAAGAUUUUAGACUCUAAUUCUUCUGAAAAAUAUGAAAUCGUGACAGCUUAGUUACGCUGCUUAGGUGUGAUAACUGCUCUCUUCUGCAUGUGAAAAGGUUGUAUCUGUGUGAGUGUGUUGAGUUGGCAGUAGACCUGAGAUGCUCCGGAAGGAAUAAUUGCUGAGGAAACAGAGUUAAACAGAUGGUUGCCUUGUUUAUUUGGCUCUAAAUCAGUGGGAAAUGGUAAGACUGCUGCUGCAAUCUAAUAUUUCUAACUGCUAACCUGCAGUGGUGAAAAAGUGAGUGACAGAUGCACAGGCAUCUCAACAGCAAUGCUCUCACAUUCACAACAACAAAGUCUACACAUUUAGAAACCUUGGAAGAAUUUUCCUUUUCCAGUUAGUUUACCAGCCUGGAAAUAGGAUCCGUCCAUAUUCUCUCAUUUGGUGUUUUAUUACUGGAUCCCUGUAUUUAUUUGCAGUGAGUAAUGCUUCUAGGCAGACCACAUAGAAGUCAAUUUAGUGGUCAAAAGUUCAAGUUUUUUGCCUGCCUAUUCAAGAGAAAGCCAGGAAAGCAAAGAGAGCAGACAUAUAUAUAUA